GAUGAAGAACGUAGCGAAAUGCGAUAAGUAAUGUGAAUUGCAGAAUUCAGUGAAUCAUCGAAUCUUUGAACGCACAUUGCGCCCCCUGGUAUUCCGGGGGGCAUGCCUGUUCGAGCGUCAUUUCACCACUCAAGCCUCGCUUGGUAUUGGGCAACGCGGUCCGCCGCGUGCCUCAAAUCGACCGGCUAGGUCUUCUGUCCCCUAAGCGUUGUGGAAACUAUUCGCUAAAGGGUGCUCGGGAGGCUACGCCGUAAAACAAACCCAUUUCUAAGGUUGACCUCGGAUCAGGUAGGGAUACCCGCUGAACUUAAGCAUAUCAAUAAGCGGAGGA
rnacentral:misc_RNA from 1 species